rnacentral:rRNA from 1 species
CCUACGGGAGGCAGCAGUGGGGAAUAUUGCACAAUGGGCGCAAGCCUGAUGCAGCAACGCCGCGUGAGGGACGACGGCCUUCGGGUUGUAAACCUCUUUUAGCAGGGAAGAAGCGAAAGUGACGGUACCCGCAGAAAAAGCACCGGCUAACUACGUGCCAGCAGCCGCGGUAAUACGUAGGGUGCAAGCGUUAUCCGGAAUUAUUGGGCGUAAAGAGCUCGUAGGCGGUUUGUCGCGUCUGCUGUGAAAACUGGGGGCUCAACCCCCAGCCUGCAGUGGGUACGGGCAGACUAGAGUGCGGUAGGGGAGAUUGGAAUUCCUGGUGUAGCGGUGGAAUGCGCAGAUAUCAGGAGGAACACCGAUGGCGAAGGCAGAUCUCUGGGCCGUAACUGACGCUGAGGAGCGAAAGGGUGGGGAGCAAACAGGCUUAGAUACCCUGGUAGUCCACCCCGUAAACGUUGGGAACUAGUUGUGGGGUUCAUUCCACGGAUUCCGUGACGCAGCUAACGCAUUAAGUUCCCCGCCUGGGGAGUACGGCCGCAAGGCUAAAACUUAAAUGAAUUGACGG